UACGUAGGGUGCGAGCGUUAAUCGGAAUUACUGGGCGUAAAGCGUGCGCAGGCGGCUUUGCAAGACAGAUGUGAAAUCCCCGGGCUUAACCUGGGAACUGCAUUUGUGACUGCAUGGCUGGAGUGCGGCAGAGGGGGAUGGAAUUCCGCGUGUAGCAGUGAAAUGCGUAGAUAUCGGGAGGAACACCUGAGGCGAAGGCGGGCUACUGGGCCGAUACUGACGCUGAUGCGCGAAAGCCAGGGGAGCGAACGGG
rnacentral:rRNA from 1 species